UCCGUUGGUGAACCAGCGGAGGGAUCAUUACAGAGUGUUUUUCCAACCUCAUAACCCUAUGUGAACCUAUAUACCACGUUGCUUCGGCGGCGCGUCCCCCCGGGGUCGUGCCCGCCGGCGUUAACCAGUCUCUCAGUCAUGAACCGACGUUACUUCUGAGUGUUCUAAGCGAACUGUUAAAACUUUCAACAACGGAUCUCUUGGCUCCAGCAUCGAUGAAGAACGCAGCGAAACGCGAUAUGUAGUGUGAAUUGCAGAAUUCAGUGAAUCAUCGAAUCUUUGAACGCACAUUGCGCCUCCCAGUAUCCUGGGAGGCAUGCCUGUCCGAGCGUCGUUUCAACCCUCGAGCCCCCGUGGCCCGGUGUUGGGGAACCGCGAGCGAGAGCUCCCGCGGUCCCCGAAAUGCAGUGGCGGUCCCGCAGCGUCCCGGCCCUUUGCGUAGUAAUUAUCGCUCGCAUUGGCAGGCCCGCGGGUUACCAGCCUUGAAACCCCCUACAAAGACCGCUCCGGCGGCACGGUUGACCUCGGAUCAGGUAGGACUACCCGCUGAACUUAAG
rnacentral:rRNA from 1 species